CCUACGGGUGGCAGCAGUGAGGAAUAUUGGUCAAUGGGCGGGAGCCUGAACCAGCCAAGUCGCGUGAGGGACGACGGUCCUAUGGAUUGUAAACCUCUUUUGUCGGGGACCAAAGGCUCCCACGGGUGGGCGGAUGAGUGUACCCGAAGAAAAAGCAUCGGCUAACUCCGUGCCAGCAGCCGCGGUAAUACGGAGGAUGCGAGCGUUAUCCGGAUUUAUUGGGUUUAAAGGGUGCGUAGGCGGCCUUUUAAGUCAGCGGUUAAAGUCUGGGGCUCAACCAUAGAAUUGCCGUUGAAACUGGGAGGCUUGAGUAUGUUUGAGGCAGGCGGAAUGCGUGGUGUAGCGGUGAAAUGCAUAGAUAGCACGCAGAACCCCGAUUGCGAAGGCAGCAUGCCAGGCCAUGACUGACGCUGAUGCACGAAAGCGUGGGGAUCAAACAGGAUUAGAUACCCCAGUAGUC
rnacentral:rRNA from 1 species